CGCCGAGUCCGAGCUCCGGUAAUCCACCGGAGUCUGGUGCAAAGGGA
rfam:Streptomyces sp. NRRL F-6491 P443contig111.1, whole genome shotgun sequence.